CUCAGUCACACACUUUUACGUGUUUUUUCCCGUCAUGUGUGUGAGGCGAGGUCGGUGCCUCAGUGUAACCACAACAGUGAAAAGUACUGCCACUACCAUACCGGGGUCCUGCCGCUGCCAUACCGAGGUACUGCCACUGCCAUACCGGGGUCCUGCCGCUGCCAUACCGAGGUACUGCCACUGCCAUACCGGGGUACGGCCACUACCAUACCGAGGUACUGCCACUGCCAUACCGGAGUACUGCCACUACCAUACCGAGGUACUGCCACUGCCAUACCGGGGUACGGCCACUACCAUACCGAGGUACUGCCACUGCCAUACCGGGGUCCUGCCGCUGCCAUACUGGGGAACUGACACUGCCAUACCGGGGUACUGCCACUGCCAUACCGAGGUACUGCCACUGCCAUACCGGAGUACUGCCACUGCCAUACCGGGGUACUGCCACUGCCAUACCGGAGUUCCACUGCCAUACAGGGGUACUGCCGCUGCCAUAUCGGGGUACUGCCGCUGCCAUACCGGGGUACUGCCGCUGCCAUACCGGAGUACUGCCACUGCCAUACCGGGGUACUGCCGCUGCCAUACCGGAGGUGUUAUUAUGGGCAUUCCAGGUUGCUGAGGAAAAUUUCCACCAAAAUAUAGCAUAAGAUAUCUGAGUAACAAGAUGUAUGGAAGCACAUGGACCAGACGUGACUGUGUAUAAAACAAAGCAGCUCCCUCAAGCCAGAGAGAGAGUCAAGUCAGCACAUUGCCACCAUUUUGUGAACACCAUCCCAGGAACACCUCUAUAAUGGGUCCACACCAGGCUAUGUUAUUACAACUAAUAAGCUAUAAGCAUAUCAUGUAGCGUGACCAGGACUUGCCUCUCAGCUCAAGUGUGUGACAGUCAACCAGGAUGUCCACAAGAUCUCGGACGCCUCUAAUUGCCAUAGUUGUGUUGUUUAGUCUUUUGUCUACACUCCUUCUAAGCAAUACGAGCUUCUUCCUCGGCCUCCAGAGACCUGGACCUCGAAGCCCUAAGGAGCAGGACGAGUUGGAGACACUCAGACGACAGCUUCACGGCAGAGUCGAACGACACCUCGUAAACGGGAGAAUUAAAGUGAACAUGAGCGGUCCUCAUUGGAGGCUGUGGCGUACAGAUGUUCCUGGGAGCCUUUGUGUCAACUAUGAGACUAGGUGAGGGAGACAGAGAGAGAGAGAGACAGACAGACAGAGAGAGGAGAGAGAGAGACAGACAGACACAGAAAGCCUUUGACAUACCAAAAUAAUGGAGAGGUUCGGAAAGACAUUUCAUACAUUUUUUUACAUAAUACAGAUACUAAUAUUAACUUGGAUCCGAUAACAAGUAAUCUUGAUAUUCUCUCACAAUAAUUACUUAUUUUCAUGAUUCGGAUCAGGAUUCUUUUUUAAUGUAUUGG